GACGAACGCUGGCGGCGUGCUUAACACAUGCAAGUCGAACGGAAAGGCCCUGCUUUUGUGGGUUGCUCGAGUGGCGAACGGGUGAGUAACACGUGAGUAACCUGCCCUUGACUUUGGGAUAACUUCAGGAAACUGGGGCUAAUACCGGAUAGGAGCUCCUGCUGCAUGGUGGGGGUUGGAAAGUUUCGGCGGUUGGGGAUGGACUCGCGGCUUAUCAGCUUGUUGGUGGGGUAGUGGCUUACCAAGGCUUUGACGGGUAGCCGGCCUGAGAGGGUGACCGGCCACAUUGGGACUGAGAUACGGCCCAGACUCCUACGGGAGGCAGCAGUGGGGAAUAGUGCACAAUGGGCGGAAGCCUGAUGCAGCAACGCCGCGUGAGGGAUGACGGCCUUCGGGUUGUAAACCGCUUUCGCCGGUGACGAAGCGUGAGUGACGGUAAUGGGUAAAGAAGCACCGGCUAACUACGUG
rnacentral:rRNA from 1 species